UGAGGAAUAUUGCACAAUGGGCGCAAGCCUGAUGCAGCAACGCCGCGUGCGGGACGAAGGCCUUCGGGUCGUAAACCGCUUUUCUGGGGAAAGAGCAAGGACGGUACCUCAGGAAUAAGUCUCGGCUAACUACGUGCCAGCAGCCGCGGUAAAACGUAGGAGGCGAGCGUUAUCCGGAUUUACUGGGCGUAAAGCGCACGCAGGCGGCUCUGUGAGUCGGACGUGAAAGCUCCCGGCUUAACCGGGAGAGGCCGUUCGAUACUGCGGGGCUUGAGGUAGGGAGAGGAAUGAGGAAUUCCCGGUGUAGUGGAGGAAUGCGUAGAUAUCGGGAGGAACACCUGUGGCGAAAGCGGCAUUCUGGCCCUCACCUGACGCUGAGGGGCGAAAGCGUGGGUAGCAAACAG
rnacentral:rRNA from 1 species